rnacentral:lncRNA from 1 species
CAUAUUGGCCAGGGUGGUCUCAAACUCCCAACCUCAGGUGAUCCACCUGCCUCGGCUUCCCAAAGUUAUUUGAGGAGCUGGCCCCUCUUAUGUUGGCAUAAAUAAGUGGAGAAUUGUUUGACUGAACUAAAAACUGAAUACUAUACCAGAGAGCAGAAUGGUUUCGUUGCAAUCCACUCAUGUCUGAAAGAUUUUAUUUAACCUUAGGAAAAAUUAUUUCACCCAAGAAUGCACUACCUAAGAAGGCAGUAUGGUGUGAGAAAGGCAAAAUGAUUAGAUGUAUGCAGUCCUGACACAGCUCCUUGUUUUAGUGGGCCUAGAAAUACCAGUCAGAGCACAUUGAGCCAUAGUAAGCACUGAAUAAAUGCCAGCCAUGGAACGGGAACUGAGAAGACGGACAAAAUCUGUCUGGAAGAAUUGAGUGAGGUGUCACAGAGAAGGUGACAUUUCCAAACUGGGUCCUGAAAGAGCAGUGUUGAAUCUAUCCGGCUUAUAAGAGGGAUACAGAAAU